UAGCGCAUUGAAGUCCAAUGUAUGUUUGUAGGCUACUUUGAGAAAGACGGGCUCAAAAGAGAGUUAAUUUAACUGCUUACAAUGUGGAUAUUGAGUUUAAAAUUCGAGCCAUUGUUGAUGCGCUCGUCUGGCCUGAGAUGUUUGCAACAAGAUACAGACAGUUAUAUCGAAAGAAUACUAUAGGUUGGAACGCCGUUUGGGUUUUGUCAUGUCAAAUAACACAGUUAUAAUAUAGAAUGUUGUGUGUUCUGAAUUUACACGUGCAAGCCAAGCGCAACCACUACUAUCAGUAACAAUGUCAAAGCUGUACAAAAAAGUCUGCAAACACCGGCGAUGACAAAUCGUUCAUCGUCGGUGUUUACAAUACCGCUUAACCCGGCAUGUACACGUUAAAUGACCGCUUAUUGUGAUUCGCUUGUGGGCGUGCUGGCAGUAUUUUGACCGUGCGUCAAAAAUUCAGCACAGCACGUUUGUAUGAAGGUCUUAUUAGUAAGUAAAUAGUUCAAUAGUAAUAUCCUCUAAAACGGUCUAGUGACAAACUUUGCUACCCUGUUUCCAAUUGUUGACAUGGCUGGGAGAACCUAUUCAAGUUACCUGUAUUUCCUUACCCCCUUAUUGUUUUCUUUUGCCUGACCUUCAGCUGGUAAGAUACCUUGUAACUGGAGAUAUCUUCAAAACGAUUGCCUAGUUAACGUGUAGGGCACUGCAAGGUUGGGUCACCAGGGACUGCCUCCUGGAGGAAUUCAGGUGUGUGAAGGCUACCUGUGUCCUGCAUAACUUCAUGAGGAUGGACACGAGGACCAGGAGGGGAUCUGCAGCUCGCCGCCAUGUGCCAGAGGGGAAGUCUGCUGCUCUGCAGGAUGUUUCAAGGAUGGGGUCCAACAACGCAGCAAAAGAGGCAAUCUGUGUGCGGGAGAUCUUCACCUCCUACUUCUACUAAGAGGGUGCUGUUCCCUGACAAUGCCAUAGACUACACUAUGCACAACCAAAGGCUCUUUUAAUAGCCAUGCACAUUGCAAUAAGAGUAUUCUUCCAUUUACUUAGCUAUGUCAACUGCAGUUAUUCAAUUCCCACUUUCUCUCCCUUUGAUUUCAACUUCUCAGGUAAUGGUGCUAUUUAGGUAAGUGUGUGAUGCCUGUACAAAAACAAAACAGGCUAUUUUAAAUCAACCACAUUGAAAAAAUGUAGAACAAUUAGACACCCUAUAGCCCAAACGCAUGUAUCAAUCUGAUUGAUGAAUUGUGUUGUGCAGUAAGCAGGCUCAGGUAUAUAACUGGCUCCUUCCACCUUCAAAAAAUAGGCAAGGCCAACCAUGGAGAAUAGUAAGACACUUCAUUAUUUCUAUAACUACGCUAUAUUGUUUGUCCUCGUGUGUCCGUUCAUGUUUUUCAGCAUAAAGUACUCUGUAGCCACUUGGUGUGGACACCAGGUGAGGCCACACGCACAAAUUCCUAUUGAACACUGUCUCUAACUACCUUAUUUUCUCAAUAAGUCUUUCUCCUUCACUUCAUCCCUCUCUUCUUCCUAAAUCCUCUAGGUUAUAUCAGCUAUGUAGGUGAACCUCUCCCGCAUCUGACUUGGCAACAUAGAGGGCACAGCAUGGUGAGGUCACUUGGUCAGGUCAACAGGAAGUAUUAUUAAAGAGAUGCUUUACAUUGAAAUACAGAGAUGCAGUAGUCCCAGAGUUAAUUAUCGAAGAUCAGUUUUGCAUUUCACUUCCUGGUGAUUGAUGAUUAACAAUGUUUGAAUAAAAAAAUGAAAACAAGGCUUAAACAUGCUCUCUCUCUCCAUCUGGCUCGUCUGCAGAUAUAUUUUGACAUGAGAGGAUGCCAACCCCUGGUCCCAUCAUUGCCACCUUACCCGCUCUUAAGAUAACCUUCGGGCUGACUAGAAACACUGUAAUUUUGAUGAACUGAAAGAAUGUUUGGGUAGCACUGAUUCAUUAAUCAUAUGCUGCAUUCCCUGCUCUUUCCCUUUUAUGCCUCUUCCUCUGUUUUUAUAAUGCACAACAGAUGUGCAUUGAAGUACAGAUUGAACUUGUAUUUAUAUUACAAUUAUAAUAUUUAAUGCAUGUGUUUAUAACACUUUAAUAAUGAACUUCUUUCAAUAAAGCAUUUCACAUUCUCUA